UCCCUAUUGGCUCAGACAGUAAAGCAUCUGCCUACAGUGUGGGAGACCCAGGUUCAAUCCCUGGGUUGGGAA
rnacentral:tRNA from 1 species